GUAUGUACACAUACAUACAUACAUAUAUAUAAAUCAGGAUGACACAGAGAUUAGCAUGGUCCUUGCUCAAGGGUGACAUACAAAUUUAUGAAGCAGUCCAUAUUUUA